rnacentral:lncRNA from 1 species
CCCAUACUAAGUGUCCAGAACACAGAAGGUCCAGUUCUUCUCCGUUUAUUAAAGAACAGGGUGAGUCAGCCAUUCUCUUGCUCACGGGUUGUUUUUUCUUUCUUUCUUCCUUCCUUCUUUCUUUCUUUCUUUCUUUCUUUCUUUCUCUCUUUCUUUCUCCAACAGAACAGAGGCGUUGCCAGCCAUUUUUGGGUCUGCUUUCUGUCCUGAUACUGCAACAGAAACUCCGAGGAUCCCAACCCAUGGCUGAGCGACCGUGCUGCUGCUCAAACGCCCUGUGCAGACAAACGCAUGCUCGGACUGGAAGGAGUGUCUCUCCUUCGGCCUCUUUUCUUUCAAACAGCCUCAGCUGAGGGCUGCAGAUUUCUUUCUUGAAAUAACCUUUCCCCCCAGGACAUUCUGUCUUAGGGGUUUUUGGUUUUAAUGAUUUUUUUUUUGUUGUUGUUGUUUUUUUUAUUUUUGUUUGUAGGAAGAGGCGUGAGAUGUCGAGGGUCUUUCACACAUGAAAAUAAAUGGUUUGACAACAAUCUCAGAAUAUUUUUCCAUAUCUGAACAAAGUACUGUUUUGUGUGCUCUAUGAUAUACAUUUAUUUGGGGUUUUGGCGGUGGGGCGGUUAGUCAUUUGUUGAGAAUGCCUUCCCUCAUUCAGCUAGGUCAGCACGGACAAAGCUGACCCUUGGUCUUCUUGUUUUUCCUCAGAAGAGUUGUAUCAGCAAACUCAAUUGUAUUUAUGUAUGUAAAUAGAUUUCAAGCUUCAUUAUAAAAUAUUGUUAAUGCCUGCAAUGACUUUUUUUUCCACAUUUCGUGUGUGUUUCUAAGGACUUUUUCUUACAUUCGCUAAAUAUUGUAGAGGAAAACAAAAUGCUUCUCUCCACUUGUUUAUUUUAGAUUUAAAAAAAAAAAAGCCAAACUCCUUCUUACUCACUUUUAUAAACAGAUAAUAAACAGCAUGGUUCCAAUUAUUUUAAGUUCACCUUAUGUUCUAGGAGAAAUGAAUGUGCAAAAAAAAAAAAAAUCAAUCUCCAAUGAACUGUUGGGCGUUUCUGUGACUCUGGACGUACAAAGAUCAACAGAAAGAAAAUAAGCUUCCAAAUUGAAAUAGCAGCAAAACACAUGUAUUGGGAGGGGGGAACACCUCAGAAAAUGCAGUUCUCCAGCCUCCAGCUACUGCCCACGAAUGUGGCAAGUGUCAGAGGCGGUCACGAGGAAUCCUGCAAUCGGUACUUGGGCCUCUUCCCGGUUCUAACAUUCAGAACACCUCCUAAGGGCACUGUCAGGCUCAGGUCUUAAAGCACAUAAGAGAGAACGUCCUAGACCCCUUCUCAGUAGCCCAGGAGAGCAGUCACUGCACUGCAGCUGCCAGUGCAAUCAGUAAGCCAGCCCCACCCCCACCCCGGGGAGUCAUGCAGAACCAGUGCAGGGCAGCCCUAAGCCACUGAAGUCUCCCUCUCUUUGUACUGUGGUCUUUUCUGUAACUCCAAUAUUGAAACCCAUGUGAAUGGCAAAUAAACAAUUUGACAAGCACCUA